rnacentral:lncRNA from 1 species
UUCGUUUUUAAAGCAAAACAAAGUGACCUCUUAUGAACGAGGAGAGCGUUUUAUUGAUUGGUCAAACAAGGCUACGGGUCACCGCCCGAUGCUUGCGUCGGCAGUUACGUAAAUUUGACGUCAGGAGUUUAAAAUAAAAACACAUUGGACAAGUUUCACGUUAUAGGGCA